GCUAUGGGAGACUCCUGAGGACAAAAUAUUGAAGAGACUAACAUGUGUGAGAGAGCUACAGGGGCAACUUUUAGCACAGUGUGUAACUGAGAGUGUGGAAUGCGCUGCAGACAACCACGACACAAAGCCAUGUCCCUCCCUGGCUUCCUGGAGGAAGAGGAUGCUUUUGACACUGCUGACAGAAUAGCUCUUCACUGCAGGACAGCAGCUUUACCACACUCCAAAUGCUAUUCCUGAUUCAUCCUUUCAGAAAUAUCCAUGCACAAAUCCCACAGCACUGAUGUUUUUAUGCUUAAAGAGGGUACAGUAUUUCCUCACUUUCCUCCUCUGCUGCCACCACGUGGACAUGUCUCAGUGUUCAUUUAAGUUUUUAGCAGGACAAUAGCCCUGCCUCCAUAGAUCACAAGUGAUCCUGUAUACUAAGGAGAAAUCCAGGACCCACAACUGUUUGGGAUUGCCAUAAUUUUCACCAUCAAAAUACCUGUUGC